rnacentral:sRNA from 1 species
ACUUGGUUUAUUAUAUAUGAGAACAUUAGGGCAUCUCCAUCAGUCGGAUACUUUCUGAGUUUCUCAAAAAA